rnacentral:rRNA from 1 species
GAUGAACGCUGGCGGCGUGCCUAAUACAUGCAAGUCGAGCGAACAGACGAGGAGCUUGCUCCUCUGACGUUAGCGGCGGACGGGUGAGUAACACGUGGAUAACCUACCUAUAAGACUGGGAUAACUUCGGGAAACCGGAGCUAAUACCGGAUAAUAUAUUGAACCGCAUGGUUCAAUAGUGAAAGACGGUUUUGCUGUCACUUAUAGAUGGAUCCGCGCCGCAUUAGCUAGUUGGUAAGGUAACGGCUUACCAAGGCAACGAUGCGUAGCCGACCUGAGAGGGUGAUCGGCCACACUGGAACUGAGCCACGGUCCAGACUCCUACGGGAGGCAGCAGUAGGGAAUCUUCCGCAAUGGGCGAAAGCCUGACGGAGCACCGCCGCGUGAGUGAUGAAGGUCUUCGGAUCGUAAAACUCUGUUAUUAGGGAAGAACAAAUGUGUAAGUAACUAUGCACGUCUUGACGGUACCUAAUCAGAAAGCCACGGCUAACUACGUG